GGGUUGGUAGCUCAACUGGAAGAGCCGGGGAUUGAAGCUCCUCAGACGGGAUUUCAAGCAUCUCCCAACCCA
rnacentral:tRNA from 1 species